GCAGUUGUAGCUCCAGCCGAAUCGAGUAGCUGCACCACUUGCUGCACCGCUUGCUGUUGCUGCUGCUGCAACUGCUGUGAAUCGCGGGAGGAUCGCUCUAGGCUGUGUCAGCUCUGCACCGCUUCACUCGUGCUGCCCAGCUGUGUGGGCGCCAUACGCGCGCUGCAAUGCAACAUUCUGCAGCAAUCUGCAGCAGCAACGACUCAGAGACAACACCGGCAACAACCACAUCACAGUUGCUGC